rnacentral:rRNA from 1 species
GGUUAGUGGCAGACGGGUGAGUAACGCGUGGGAACGUACCUUUCACUACGGAAUAGCUCCGGGAAACUGGUGGUAAUACCGUAUACGCCCUCAGGGGGAAAGAUUUAUCGGUGAAAGAUCGGCCCGCGUUGGAUUAGCUAGUUGGUGAGGUAAUGGCUCACAAAGGCGACGAUCCAUAGCUGGUCUGAGAGGAUGAUCAGCCACAUUGGGACUGAGACACGGCCCAAACUCC